UCCAAAUGGGGUGGGGGGGGGUCGAAAUGGGAUGGAGGGGGGGGGGAAAUAUUGGGGUCCCCCCCCGGAAAGGAGCGGCUUCUCCAGGUUUCUGGAUGAGUUGACCUUAAGGGUGCUGAGCCCGGCUCAGCUGAGGGACCUGGGCUGGAAUCCCCCCCCCGGCCCCCCCAAACCCCCCCCCCCCCCGUGGAGGUGAGACCCCCAGUGUGGAGGAACGGCGGGGGGAGACCCCCCCAAAUCCGGGGGGUCCCAACAGGGAACGGAGGGAGGAGGAGGAGGAGGAGGAGGAAGAGGAGGAGGAGGAAGAGGAGGAGGACCCGGGGGUGGCAGCGGCUGUGUGGGGCCCCCCCACAGCACAGCGGGAGCUGCAGGAGCUGCGGGAGCGCAUGGAGAGGCUCCAGGAGGACUUUGCCGCCUCUCAGCAUCUGAACCGGGUCCUGGGGGAGCGCCUGCAGGGUCUGGCGCAGGCGGUGGCCCUCCAGAGGGUGGCGCUGUCCCAGGGGUUGGCUGAGGCCCUACAGCAGUUCCUGGUGACCCCAACGGGGCAGGAGGUGGCCGUGGGGGUACAGAUGCCCCCAUGGGGUCGGACCCCCCGUGAUGGCAAUGGGGACAGCGAGGAGGGGCCGCUGCCGCCCCCCCCCGGCCUUCCGG
rnacentral:lncRNA from 1 species